rnacentral:tRNA from 1 species
UGCCCCGUGGCCCAGCUGGUUAAGGCGUGUGACUGUUAAUCACAAGAUCGUGAGUUCGAGCCUCACCGGGGCAG